ACCAGAACUUGAUACUGCUGCUUAUGUGUGCUGUUUUCAUGACACUGAGAGUCAUACACAUGCAGAAGGACUGCAUAAAUACCUGAGUUAUAUUCUACAGAUGGUUUAAGCGUGGUUCCAUGUUUCCAGGAAGACUUUCUCCCUGUGCACGUUGAUUUUCAGUUAUCCCAGGUAUUAAACUUGGGGUUUGCUUCUCUUUGCAUUGAAGAGCAUACAGCUUAGAAUCAUCAAAUUGCAUUUCUCUGCGCUCUUUCUUAAAAUACAAUUUGUCAUUACAAAGCAAGCACACAUCAGCAAAACUGCAUAGAUAUCUUUGUCCUUUAUGUGGCUUUCAUAGCUUUCUGAGGAAGCAUGUACGAUACCCAGAGAAUCCAACUUCACUAAUGCAAGCAAAGUGUUAAACUCUUGGAAGGGCAAAACUGGAAAGGAGUAUGUAAUGGAGGCUUGUGGAGCUACUUAGGGAAAAAAAUGUACUGAUAGGCAGUGAAAUAAUUUAAUGUCUUGCAUUGUUUUUCUGAUGUUUGUGCUGUUAAUCUCCUGGUAGUUGCAUGUCCUCUGUUCACUGAGGACUAGCUGAGAGGGCUAGCAGCAGCUUUUCUUAUGAUUGUAUUUUUUGCCGUUUGAAAUGGAGUAAACCCCCAGUUUUAUUUUAAAGAAACCAUUGUGGGGCCCCAGAGCAAGGAAAUGUCAUCUCAAAAAUGGAAUGCUUAAUAAUUAAAACUGGUUUAUUAUUCACUAAAAUCACACCAUUCAAUCUUUAGUGUAUUUACAAGCACUUUAUUAUCAUAAAAAUCACAUUUUAAUAUGGAGCCUCAGAAAAGUCCUUUAAAGAAGAUCAAGUGGUCAGGACUGAUGUUAAGUAUUCUGGACAGCACCAGAAGAUCAGAGAGUACAAAUAAAUAAAUUACAGUCACUGUUUUAGAGGAAAGCUUAUAAAUGAGUUGUAUAGUUAAUGAAGUGACUGUAGGCAUUUAAAUGUUUAAACAUUUAGGCAUAGAUGGAUGCAGUGACAUAUUAGUAGCAAAUACUACUUUCUCUGUUUUAUGAAAUGAUUUAAAUUGGACCUGUGCAGUGUGAACAUGGCAAAAAUACGUGAUCCUGAAAGUUAAAUUAUGCAUUCAGUUAGAUAUCUGUACGUUCUUUGACCUUUGCAUUAUUCCCUGUUUUUAGGACAGAGGAGAAUCUGUUUGCAGCAUUGUUUUGCCAGUUUAGCAGACACUUUAGCAGAAGUGUCUGCUGACUGUAGUCUUUCAGUUUGAGCUUGAGGCCUGGUGAUGUUCAUAAACCUAACAGUUGGGCAUUGUUUUUGUUCUCAAGCAGAAGGGAAGAAACACAUGGCUUGUCCUUGAAAAAAAUUCUGGCUGUUGUUUCUUUGGGAUGGAACUGUAUUAUGCUGCUUGAUCUGCUGUUGAGUUUUAGUGAAAAUUUGUUCUCAGGAAAACUUCACAUAACUUCAUUUGAAACAAGCCUUGGAACAGCAGUUGGGCAUAGAUUUCUCUCCUUCUAGCCCCCUUAGUCUUGGGACAGUUUUUGAAGGGCUGUAUCUCUUACUGGACCAACAGAGACUUUUAUUUGAGACUGUACUUCAAACUUAAUGACUCUUAACAUUUUUCUUUGGAAAGUGCUUUUUUCAAAAGAUUAGAACUCUGCACUAUUAGUAAAUAAGUAAUUUUUAUGCAGCAUGCAUAUUUUAAUACACCGUAUUAUUGUUCACUUGCCAAACUUUGUAUUUUCAGCUAGUAUUUUGAUUUUAAAUAUGUUUUAUUUGUGCCUCAGGCAUAGAAAAUUCUAUAUUGUUUUGGGCUGGGAAUCAAAUAUUAAUACAGAUAAUUUCUCAGUUUUUGAAAUGUGACCCAGAGCUUCCUGUCUGCAAAGUAUAAAAUUAGGUGAAACUCUCUUACAGGUCCUAUUGCUGUGAAGCAGUUGUUUGUUUAUGUAAAUUGAAUGAACGUUUAACCUGUCACUGGGUCUUGUUCAUCUCGGUAGAAAAACAGAGGGACUUUACAUUCCCAAUAAAAAUUACUUGAUUGUAACUUUGUUUAUAGGCAUUAAACAGAGUUUACACACAUUUAAGUAGGUAUUUUAUGUUGUUUUGCUCUUUCCCUGUGAAUGAGAGGGUGAGACAAUGUUUGUAAUGUGAACGAAAAUAAAUAUAGUUGGAGAUCUGAAAGCUCACUCAUUAAAAAAAAAAAAAAUUAGCAUCAAUGUUGCACCGAAUCAAGGCACCCUGCAGGAUGUUUGGAUAAUUCUCCUUUUUAUAGCCGAUAUGAAAUCAUAGGUCUUUUUACAUGCACAGCUUUAGAUACAGCUGUGUUUCUGCUGCUUGCCUGGUUCCUUAAGCAGUUCCCAUUCUAGUCUUUCUUACAGCAUAAUUGUGAUAAAAGGUGUUAAAUUCAGUGUUUUCUGUGUAAAAAAUAUCUGAAUAAGUCUGUAAGAAAUUGGGAAAUGAGAAAAGUUUUGGCUUGUUGAUACUGUGGAUUAUGGUCUUUAGCAAAUCUAAAUUUACAUCUGUAUUUGUAUAAAAUCUAAUAGAAAAGAAUAUAGAAGAUAAAUGAGUGUUAAUGCGUAGGAUGCUGAAGAGAACUUGCAGUAAUACUCGUCAGUGAUGUUGGGACAUCACAGGCUUGGUGCAUCCUCUGAGUUUAAUGGAAGAAAAUCUUGAGAGAAGGAGUUACUGAUGUCUUAUAACACCAAACUUUAUUACAAAUCACAUUUUUUUGGGGUCAUGAUUCUUUUAAUCCUUACAGCAGAGAGGAUUCUAAUGUACAAAUGACAAAUUGAGUUGUUGAUGUUUUUUUUAAUCUGGUCAGGAGCUAAUUUUCCUGCUCUAUACAACCUUUUUAUGUUUGAAAUACUCAUGCUAGAAUACCAAUGAUAAAGGAAUGAUGUGGCCUUUAACGUGCAGUGUCUUUGUUCAGACUGGUUUUGUUUUCAGUGUCACUAGUGAGCAUGUAGUGGGGUUUUGAGUCUUGAUAUAUUGAUAGUGGUUUCUUUGAGCUUCUGUAAAGUUUGAUGCAGACUUCUAUAGACGCUCUGUUGCUCUUUCUUCCCUAGAUGAAAUUAUUUUGGCUUUAGGCAUUUACAAGUUGAAUUCAAGAAUUAUACUACCCAUUUGUCUCUUAGUAAGGAGAUCCUGAAGUAGGAUCAAAUACUUGGCUUGUAUAAACCAUUGUGGUAGUAUUUGUAUUUUCAUGUAAGGACCAAACAUUCAAGCUGAUACCAUUUAAUCACAAAUUGCCUUGUGUUCUAGACUGUGGUUCCGUCAGGAAUAAGAUUAUUCUGCAUCUAAAUGAUCCUCAGAAAGGGGGCAAUAGUGUACAUAGUUGUAAAUAUUCACUUUUGCUUUUUAACAAUCUUUUUAAUGCGUUCUUGCAGCUGGGAACACUUGGCAAGAAAGCUAACAACUUGAACUUCACUGGUGAAACAACAUUAAAGUUUCUAAUUCAUUAGUUCUGAUCAAACCUGCCUUGGAGUUGUUUCCUGAAGAGUCAACAAGAAAAAAAUCUUCCUGUUGGAGGAUCAAGAUAAGGAGGGUGUAUCUCAUAGUAUAGGGUUCUGAUACUGUGUCUUUCAGGAGACAUUCUUUUUUUCUUGUUUGUUUUUAACUGUGGGAUUUUUUUUUUUUUCAUACAAAAGGAUUUAAAUUUGUUUUAUAACUUUUCUGUCAUCUGUGUUACAACUGCAGAUGAGUGUACAGAGGAAGCUGUAGGUAUUGAGAAUGUUAAAUGUGUGCGUGUUACACUGUAUAACUAUUGAAAGCAUCACUGUGGCAAUAACGCUUAGCUUUCCAGUCAUUUUGAAAACUUAAUAUUGACAGUAAGUUAAGUUUAUAUAUUUACCUUUGUGGGAAUGUUGGGAUUUAUUGCAAAGUUCUUAAAAUAAAUCUAUUAAAGGGAAAAAAUAUUGUAAAACUCUUUUCUGUCUU